rnacentral:rRNA from 1 species
GAGUGCAGGAGAGGAAGGUAGAAUUCCCCGGUGUAGCGGUGAAAUGCGUAGAGAUCGGGAGGAAUACCAGUGGCGAAGGCGGCCUUUUUGGACUGACACUGACACUGAGGUGCGAAAGCGUGGGUAGCAAACAGGAUUAGAUACCCUGGUAGUCCACGCCGUAAACGAUGUCGACCAGCCGUUGGGUGCCUAGCGCACUUUGUGGCGAAGUUAACGCGAUAAGUCGACCGCCUGGGGAGUACGGCCGCAAGGUUAAAACUCAAAUGAAUUGACGGGGGCCCGCACAAGCGGUGGAGCAUGUGGUUUAAUUCGAUGCAACGCGAAGAACCUUACCUACUCUUGACAUCCUGCGAAUUCGGUAGAGAUACCUUAGUGCCUUCGGGAACGCAGAGACAGGUGCUGCAUGGCUGUCGUCAGCUCGUGUUGUGAAAUGUUGGGUUAAGUCCCGUAACGAGCGCAACCCUUGUCCUUAUUUGCCAGCGCGUAAUGGCGGGAACUCUAAGGAGACUGCCGGUGACAAACCGGAGGAAGGUGGGGACGACGUCAAGUCAUCAUGGCCCUUACGAGUAGGGCUACACACGUGCUACAAUGGUCGGUACAAAGGGUUGCCAACUCGCGAGAGUGAGCCAAUCCCGAAAAGCCGAUCUCAGUCCGGAUCGGAGUCUGCAACUCGACUCCGUGAAGUCGGAAUCGCUAGUAAUCGUAGAUCAGAAUGCUACGGUGAAUACGUUCCCGGGCCUUGUACACACCGCCCGUCAC